rnacentral:rRNA from 1 species
GACGAACGCUGGCGGCGUGCUUAACACAUGCAAGUCGAACGAAGCGUGAUUACGGAUUCUUCGGCUGAAGGAUGAUAUGACUGAAUGGCGGACGGGACAGACACGCGUGAGUAAGCUGCCCUCCAGAGGGGGAUAGCAAUAGGGGACGAACGGUAAUACCGCAUAAUGGAGGUUGAACGGAUGCGCGAGAUACGGAAGAACUAUCGCCGUAGGAUGGAGUCGCGGCUGUUUAGGGAGUUGGUGGGGUAACGGCCUACCAAGCCGACGAUCAGUAGCCGGGAGGGGAGGUGGACCGGCCAGGUUUGGAAUGCGACACAGCCCACACUGCUACGGGAGGCUGCAGUGGGGAAUAUUGCGCAAUGGGCGCAAGCCUGAUGCAGCAGCGCCGCGUAAAGGAGCACGGUUUUCGGAUUGUAAACUUCUGUUCUUAGUGAAGAAUAAGGACGGUAGCUAAGGAGCAGGCCACGGCUAACUACGU